rnacentral:rRNA from 1 species
CCUACGGGCGGCAGCAGUGAGGAAUAUUGGUCAAUGGACGAGAGUCUGAACCAGCCAAGUAGCGUGAAGGAUGACUGCCCUAUGGGUUGUAAACUUCUUUUAUAUGGGAGUAAAAUGUUCCACGUGUGGGCUUUUGUAUGUCCCAUAUGAAUAAGGAUCGGCUAACUCCGUGCCAGCAGCCGCGGUAAUACGGAGGAUCCGAGCGUUAUCCGGAUUUAUUGGGUGUAAAGGGAGCGUAGGUGGAUUGUUAAGUCAGUUGUGAAAGUGUGCGGCUCAACCGUAAAAUUGCAGUUGAAACUGGCAGUCUUGAGUACAGUAGAGGUGGGCGGAAUUCGUGGUGUAGCGGUGAAAUGCUUAGAUAUCACGAAGAACUCCGAUUGCGAAGGCAGCUCACUGGACUGCAACUGACACUGAGGCUCGAAAGUGUGGGUAUCAAACAGGAUUAGAUACCCGUGUAGUC